UUUUUUUUUUUUUUUUUUACUCUUUAUUUUGAAAACAAUUUCAAAACUACAAAACAUCUGGAAGAAUAAGUCAAAGAACUCCUAUAUACUUUUAACCCAGAUCAACACACAGACCUGGUGUUGUUGCAGCUGCAGCUCAAAUUCAACCUCUGGCCUGGGAACUUCCAUAUGCUGUGGGUGCAGCCAUAAAAAAAGAAAAGAAAAGAAACAAACUCACAGAUUUUGAAAUCAAAUUUAGGGUUACCAAAAGGGAGAUGGGGGCUAGGAUAAAUUAAGAAGUUGGGAUUUAAUAUACACAAACUACCAUAUAUAAAAUAGUCAACAAUGGAGUUUCCAUCGUGGCUCAAUGGUUAACGAAUCUGACUAGCAUCCACGAGCACACAGGUCCGAUCCCUGGCCUUGCUCAGUGGGUUAAGGAUCCAGGGUUGCUGUGGCAUAGGCUUGCAGUUGCAGCUCCAAUUCAACCCCUAGCCUGGGAACUUUCAUGUGCCUCAGGCGUGAGCCUAAAAAAAGAAAGAAAAAAAAAAAAAAAAAGGAUGAGCUGAAGUUGCCAGGUGACUGGGUGAGAAGGUGAAGGAGAUCAGGGGUCAUGUGAAAGAACCAGGGUGAGACAGCCUCUGGGGGCUACAAGUCUUCAAAGCGUAACUUGGUGUGACAGCAGCUGAAGUUUAUCUCAGACCAUGGGAGCCAGAAGGAAACUUCAUACUCUCAGAACCUCUCUAUUUUAGGAGGAGAAAAACUUUGUGAUUUCUAGAACAGAAAAGAGGUGAAAGCAGAUGGAGCAGGUGAAGUAGGGAUGGUUCCCACGGACACCACCCUCACCCCAGGUUUGCUGCUGCCCUCCCUCACAUCUUUGCAGAACCCACCAGGGCCUCACACCUCACCUCAAGAAACUGAGGCCCAGAAGCAAGUGACAAGUGACAAGGGGGCCCACUUCUCCAAGGGGAUUGGAGCCAGGACUUCAAACUCCCAGCCCCAGAAUCCUUUGAAGCUUUUCUGGGAAAUAACAGCUUUGAAUAGAGUGGGGAAAGUGGGGGAAGGGAAGGCAGUGCAGCUCAGAAAACCACAAAGCCUCCCCUUUCCAGGACUCAGUGGUCCCAUCUGUACAAAGGGGAGUGUUGGCCAAGAUGACCUUGGAGACACUGUCUGUUCUGGUCCCUGAGGCCAUCACCCCACCUCAGCCUAAGGAGACCCCCAUCCCAGAGCCCCAGAUCUCAGGCUUUGUCCCUCCAAAUUCUACCCCCGUUCUUGGGGUGAGGAGUAGGUGCCCCAGAGCUGCCAGUGAAUGAAGCCCAAGGCUGAGCACCAAGCAGAGGCCAUGCAGUCUGGCGGCCAGAGGCUGAUGUGAUCCAGUCUAGCAGCUCACAAUAUUUUUAAGCCACUGUGCGCCUGCCACUGGGCUGGAAGCAGAUCAGAGAAAAACAAAAAUGGAAUGACCCUGCUUAGCCUGACAACACCACCAAAGGGAAGGAAAGACUUUGAGAAAAAGCUAAACAGCCUCUUAUUUUUUUUUUU
rnacentral:lncRNA from 1 species